rnacentral:rRNA from 1 species
GUGGAAGCGCAGUAAUGUGUGUAGCUGACCGGUACUAAUAAGCCGAGGGCUUGACCUUA